GCAGGAAUGGCGGAAUUGGCAGACGCGCACGGUUCAGGUCCGUGUGAAAGCAAUUUCAUGAGGGUUCAAGUCCCUCUUCCUGCA
rnacentral:tRNA from 1 species